rnacentral:hammerhead_ribozyme from 1 species
GCACUGCUGAGGAGUCCCGCACCAGGACGAAACGGUCGUUCAGUGC